rnacentral:rRNA from 1 species
CUCGUGUCGUGAGAUGUUGGGUUAAGUCCCGCAACGAGCGCAACCCUUGCCUUUAGUUGCCAGCAGUUCGGCUGGGCACUCUAAAGGGACUGCCGGUGUUAAACCGGAGGAAGGUGGGGAUGACGUCAAGUCCUCAUGGCCUUUAUGACCAGGGCUACACACGUACUACAAUGGCCGAUACAAAGGGCAGCGACACUGCGAGGUGAAGCCAAUCCCGUAAAAUCGGUCUCAGUCCGGAUUGGAGUCUGCAACUCGACUCCAUGAAGUUGGAAUCGCUAGUAAUCGUGGAUCAGCAUGCCACGGUGAAUACGUUCCCGGGCCUU